UGUCCCUUCGGGGACAUCCCGAUAAAAUUGGAUACAGAGAAGAUUAGGUUGGAGUGUGUGGUUGGAGCCCCUAGGGGUUUUAUCAGGCCACGUAAGCACCACCUAGGAUCCACCUCAGCCAUAAGGCUUUAUCACGCCCUUCUUUAACUUGCAUGGUGUGUAUGAGCCCCUAUUAAAAAAAUAAAAAAAAACAAAAGAUUUCAUUGGGUGAAAUGACAUGAGCCUUACCUGAUAAAGCCCUUCGAGCUCGUUACCAUGACGGAGUCCCAUCAAUGGCGCCCCUUCUUAAAAUGGUGGGUGUAUAGCGCCGGGGGGCGCUAUAGAGUGUGAGGUGGCGAGGGUGGCGCCCCCACGGCCCACACCCUCCGGCCUUAGCAUGGCCCCUGCGCAAGGUUGACACGCACAAAUCGAGAAAUUGUCUAAAUAUUU
rnacentral:snRNA from 1 species